rnacentral:rRNA from 1 species
UACGUAGGCAGCAAGCGUUGUUCGGAGUUACUGGGCGUAAAGGGUGUGUAGGCGGUUCUUUUAAGUUUGCUGUGAAAUCUCCCGGCUUAACCGGGAGGGUGCGGUGAAUACUGAGGGACUAGAGUACGGGAGAGGAAAGUGGAAUUCCUGGUGUAGCGGUGAAAUGCGUAGAUAUCAGGAGGAACACCGGUGGUGUAGACGGCUUUCUGGACCGACACUGACGCUGAGACACGAAAGCGUGGGUAGCAAACAGG